CUACUUCAUAGAGAGUUUCCUGAGUUCUGUUAUUGUUUUUCCUGACAAUUUUAAGGAGUGUGUUUAUUUGGAGGUGGAAUGGAGGAAAGAGAAUGUUUUUCAAGAUACAGCCAAGUUUUACAGUGUUUCUUUUAGAAGUACUCUAGGAACUCUUUUGGUUGGGAAUCCCAUGCUGUAACCAAAAAGGCUUCGUGGUACUCAUUGUCCUUGGCAAUUUAAGUUGCUGCAGUUUCCUCAUCUCAUGUUAAGCUUAUGUCGUGUUCCGUGAUGUAAUUUAUACUGGGGGAUCAUUCCAUUAGUAGUUCAUAUAUAUACGACAACAUCCUUUCUGAUUUCAGGGCUGGUACCUCUCUACAGUACUGUUGUUGGGGCGUAAAUAAGGCUGGGUUCUGUUGCUCCUGGUGUCAAGCCCACUGUAUAAGAACAUUGCUGCAGAGAUCUGUAUGUGAUUGCACGAUGGGGGAAGAAUUAUACAAAGCGGACUAGAUGUUCUACUCUCCUAAGCAGGAUUUGCAGGAUUUAAGCAAAUCUGCUGGAAUUCCUUGAUCUUGUUCAUGCACCUUAUAGCUUGAGUAUUUUACCAGUACUGUGUGUGAUUGCUGUUAACUACCUUUCUUCUUAGGCUUUCACUGAAGACUUUUUAUGGAGGGAGCACUGAUUUUUCUACAUUUUCCUGAACUUCAGACCUCAAUAUCUCUACUUAAGGAAAUGAAAGAGACAUCCCGCUCCCUCAAAGCGGCAAGCACCCGGCUCUCCGGGAAACCGAGCUGGAGAGUGAGAAGAGGAGGCAGCAGCUGAGCCCAGCAGCAGAAUGAGACUGUGAAGCUUGAAGCUGCUGCCCACUUUGUACAGGAAGGAUGAAGAUCCCCAGAGUACUUAGGCUGUUGGUAGAGCUCUCGAGUCUGUUAUCAUGUCUCAGAUGCAGGGAGGCUCUCCUGGGAUCCCAGCCCAGCCAAAACCAUUUGCAGAGUGCAGGUAAGAACAAGAAGUUAUUAAUUCAGUCAUCAGGCAGAUUCUUUCCUGCAGUGGUGAUCUGAGACCACAGGUACGAUGAACCACUGCUAUCUGGCUUUCUUCUCCGUCAUUUCUUUCAUCCUGUAUGCCUCAAUGUUUAUCUCCUUCACCAACAUGGCCAAACUGCUUUCUCUUCGUCAUGUCUAAUACUCUUGCACUUCUCUUUUCCUCCCCCAUGUUCUUUUCCUUUCAUCUCUAUUUCUGCCCUGGUCUUUUUUUGCAUGCUCACUCCACCUAGCAAGAACUGAAUUCUCGUGUUCUCCCCUCUUAAGCUCCC
rnacentral:lncRNA from 1 species